rnacentral:rRNA from 1 species
CCAGCAGCCGCGGUAAUACGGAAGGUCCAGGCGUUAUCCGGAUUUAUUGGGUUUAAAGGGAGCGUAGGCGGAUUAUUAAGUCAGUGGUGAAAGACGGUGGCUCAACCAUCGUUAGCCAUUGAAACUGGUAGUCUUGAGUGCAGACAGGGAUGCUGGAACUCGUGGUGUAGCGGUGAAAUGCUUAGAUAUCACGAUGAACUCCGAUCGCGAAGGCAGGUGUCCGGGCUGCAACUGACGCUGAGGCUCGAAAGUGUGGGUAUCAAACAGGAUUAGAUACCCUGGUAGUCCACACAGUAAACGAUGUAUACUCGCGGUUUGCGAUAUAAUGUAAGCCGCCAAGCGAAAGCAUUAAGUAUACCACCUGGGGAGUACGCCGGCAACGGUGAAACUCAAAGGAAUUGACGGGGGCCCGCACAAGCGGAGGAACAUGUGGUUUAAUUCGAUGAUACGCGAGGAACCUUACCCGGGCUUGAAC